rnacentral:rRNA from 1 species
GACGAACGCUGGCGGCGUGCUUAACACAUGCAAGUCGAACGGAAAGGCCCUGCUCUUGUGGGGUGCUCGAGUGGCGAACGGGUGAGUAACACGUGAGUAACCUGCCCUUGACUUUGGGAUAACUUCAGGAAACUGGGGCUAAUACCGGGUAGGAUCUCCUGCUGCAUGGUGGGGGUUGGAAAGUUUCGGCGGUUGGGGAUGGACUCGCGGCUUAUCAGCUGGUUGGUGGGGUAGUGGCUUACCAAGGCUUUGACGGGUAGCCUGCCUGAGAGGGUGACCGGCCACAUUGGGACUGAGAUACGGCCCAGACUCCUACGGGAGGCAGCAGUGGGGAAUAUUGCACAAUGGGCGGAAGCCUGAUGCAGCAACGCCGCGUGCGGGAUGACGGCCUUCGGGUUGUAAACCGCUUUCGCCUGUGACGAAGCGUGAGUGACGGUAAUGGGUAAAGAAGCAACGGCUAACUACGUG